CCUACGGGAGGCGGCAGUGGGGAAUAUUGCACAAUGGGCGAAAGCCUGAUGCAGCAACGCCGCGUGAAGGAAGAAGGGUUUCGGCUCGUAAACUUCUAUCAACCGGGACGAAAGAAAUUACGGUACCUGAAUAAGCAGCCCCGGCUAACUACGUGCCAGCAGCCGCGGUAAUACGUAGGGGGCAAGCGUUAUCCGGCAUUACUGGGUGUAAAGGGUGAGUAGGCGGCAUGGUACGCCAGAUGUGAAAGCCUUGGGCUUAACCCGAGGAGUGCAUUUGGAACUAUCAAGCUAGAGUACAGGAGAGGAAAGCGGAAUUCCUAGGGGAGCGGUGAAAUGCGUAGAUAUUAGGAAGAACACCAGGGGCGAAGACGGCUUUCUGGACGGAAACUGACGCUGAGGCACGAAAGCGUGGGGAGCGAACAGGAUUAGAUACCCUGGUAGUC
rnacentral:rRNA from 1 species